CCCCAUCUCUGCCUCAGAGGGUGGGUCCCCUUGACUUUGACAACUUGAUCCCCUGGAAAUGUCCUACUUCCUGCUCCUCCCCAGGCCCUGCCUAGUGGGACCACGUCAUUCUCUAUUCUCAUGGACCUCUAUACCCCUCCUCUCUGAGUUCAGGUAUUCUGGUACCUGCCCACAGCAGGGAGAACAACAGACCACAUGUCCAGUCCUUGCCCAGCCCAGAUUAUGCUAUAAAGACGUUUUUUGAAAGAGAAAGAAAGAGGUGACAUUCUGUGGAGGGAUCUUAAGGGACCAGGUAUCCAGCCUCCCCAGUCUGUAGCCCCAGGUCCCCACACUGGUGUUUUUCUUCAGGUUGAGGACCUAUUCUUGGAGACCCAAGCUCCCAGCACUCCAGCCACAGACCUUCACCUUGAGACUUCCUUCUCAAGACCCUCAGGUUUUUUCUUCCCUUUUAGGCCUAAUCACAUCGGGGACUCGAGGCCUCACUUCCAGGCUUGGCAGGCAGAGUAUCUCAAGAUGAAGAGAAAGACAUUUUCCCUUGCAUGCUGGCCGCUGUUUCAUCUUCUACUACUCUUAGGAAACGCUGUAACUUCUAAUGCUAACACUACAGCCACCACCCUUGGACAAACCACAUCACCCAGGGGAACUAACACAACAGCUAUAACCUCCAGUGGGAACAUCACGACCACCUCCCUCGGACCAACCACACCAUCCAGGGGAACUAACACAACAGCUAUAACCUCCAGUGGGAACAUCACGACCACCUCCCUCGGACCAACCACACCGUCCAGGGAAACUAACACAACGGCUAUAACCUCCAGUGACACCAGCACAAGUACUGCCCCUCCAAGGAAAGAGGAGAACCUUAGCGGACAACUGACACCAUGGGAAGUUGUUCUGGUCACUCUGGCCUCGGUUGCAAUGGCUGUGAUUCUCGUCACCGGGCUUCUCUUCCAUUUCGUGAGUGCCUGAUUAUAGGGAACCCUUUUUCUAAAGGAAAGAGAGGAGGGAGGUAAAGAAGGAGCUGGAGUAGAGAGAGCAGGGUCACUGUGGGAGUAACAGGGAUGAGAAAUCAGAAAAAGACACAGAGAAAGCAGGUCAGAGCCAGCAAGCCAGAAGGUCAAAAAGCCAAAACAUAUUCAGAGAAAACUGAUGAGGGGACGUUCCGGGGGGGAGGUCGGGGGGAGGCAAAGGAAGUGAUGAGGACGGAAGAGCUGGCAAGAAGGGGACUCCUGGGACUGGAGAGCCACUGGAAGAGGGGGCAAAACUCCGAAAACUAUUCAGCCUUUUGUUUUCUAGAGAAACUCUCCAGGCCUCAGAAACCUCUUCGAUGUUAAUCUCUUACCAACUGCAUGGCCAAGCCCCUACGGGACCAGGGCAACUGCAACUGACUUCAGAGGAGACCCUUCUCCCGUAGUCAUGGAGCUGACUGGGAGGCGGGAAUAGCACUGAGCUCCCUGAAGGCAGACGCAUCACCAAUGUGUGGGGGUAGGGG
rnacentral:lncRNA from 1 species